rnacentral:misc_RNA from 1 species
GCUACUACCGAUUGAAUGGUUUAGUGAGGACUCCUGAUUGGCGCCGCCGCCCCGGCAACGGAGCAGCGGACUGCCGAAAAGUUGUUCAAACUUGAUCAUUUAGAGGAAGUAAAAGUCGUAACAAGGUUUCUGUAGGGAACCUGCAGAAGGAUCAAGAUCGGAAUAGCGUCUUGUAGGGUAAUUGUUUAGAUCUCGGUGGUCGCCGUAUCCUUACAAAACACUUCUAUCUUUUUUUUUCUUUUUUCUUCUCUUUCUCUCUCUUUUCUUCCUCAUCUCC